UGGGGAAUAUUGGACAAUGGGCGAAAGCCUGAUCCAGCAAUGCCGCGUGAGUGAUGAAGGCCUUAGGGUUGUAAAGCUCUUUUACCCGGGAAGAUAAUGACUGUACCGGGAGAAUAAGCUCCGGCUAACUCCGUGCCAGCAGCCGCGGUAAUACGGGGGGAGCUAGCGUUGUUCGGAAUUACUGGGCGUAAAGCGCACGUAGGCGGCUAUUCAAGUCAGAGGUGAAAGCCCGGGGCUCAACCCCGGAACUGCCUUUGAAACUAGAUAGCUUGAAUCCAGGAGAGGUGAGUGGAAUUCCUAGUGUAGAGGUGAAAUUCGUAGAUAUUAGGAAGAACACCGGUGGCGAAGGCGGCUCACUGGCUCGAUACUGACACUGAGGUGCGAAAGCGUGGGGAGCAAACAGGAUUAGAUACCCCCGUAGUCCCUGAGCGGGCUGGCAAGGCGCAU
rnacentral:rRNA from 1 species